GGCCUGCAUAGUUCUCACUUGGAAUAGUC
rnacentral:piRNA from 1 species